rnacentral:tRNA from 1 species
CCUCGUGUAGCACAGCGGUUAGUGGCAUCUGCCUGAUAAGCAGAAGGUCGAAGGUUCAAAUCCUUCCGCGAGGA